UACACUUCAGUUUGAGCUCAUCAGAACCUCACUGCCAGAUACCCUGUAGAAACCAGGUACUCGGUUUUACUGGCUUCUAAAGCUGACUUCAUGUGCUGCUACUUACGCCAACCGACCGCUGCUCAGCUCUCUUUUCACUGAAGAGGCACAAGAGAUGUUCUCUAGGACAGCAGGAGUCAUCCAAAGGCCAGAAGGUGUCUAAACCUGUAAUGAAGAUUUACCUCAACAGCAGAGACUUCAAGAAAACAUUGGUGGAUGAACCUGUGGUGAUCCUUACUUCAAACUGCAUGGCUGCCUUCCCAUGCCAUUUCAUGAUGUAUGAAAUUUUGUGCCCAAAAUUUACAUUCUUGUAGUUAACAAUAUUAUCACCAUUCCUAAUUUUAGGCUGAUGUCAUUAUAUUAAAGGAGCCAAAAGGACUCUAAAAGGAUGUUUGGAAUAACAUCUAUAUUGAAAAUGAUAGUAUGUUCAUGUAUACACCUAUGCUAACAAAAAUCUGUUGGUACAAUCUUGCUCAGACUCCGUAGGGGAUUAACUUGGGGUGCGUUCCUCUGUAGGAAUGGCGCUUGUAUGUGUGGGGUGAGUGUGCCAUUCAAACACAGAGAGCGUGCACUCCUUCCUAAGUAGCUUUCCAUACAGUUUUCACUCACCAUUUUGGCUUCACAAAAUACUGUUGUCCUUCUGCAUAAAAUAAUUUACAUGUCUCAGAGACUUCUGAAGUUGAGACAGUCUAAACACAGUUUAGAGGAUGGAAAAUAACCAUGGUAAAUCUCUUCCCAACCAAAGACUUCAGAUCUGCCUGGGGUAGUGCCAUGAUGUCCCUUGAUUUCCUUCUUCCCUUCUGCAUAGGAAAUGUGUUUUUAUGUUUGACUCUUUUUCUAUAAAUAAAUGAACCAUAAUCAGGAAAACACUUGCUAGCUUUGGAGUCCAGCUUGUGACUUGUGUGGGGAAAAUAUUAAAAUACUUUGAGGCAUAUUUUGGCUAGACUGCUGUGAGAUAUGGCUGGGGCCUGACAGAAUCAAAAAUGUGCCAGACUUGACCAGGAUAAACCCUGUUCUGUGUUUGUCUGAGUACUGGAGCUAGAAAUGCUGCAGCAAAGGAGGAUGUUAGUUGUGCUUAUUUGUUUCGCAGUGGCUGGAUUGCUCCUCCAGCCCCAGCUGCUGCCUUAGCUCUGGCAGCAAACAAAACCACACUGGACGGUGGUGGUGGCACAAAAUCCUCCCUCCAUGCCUUGCAAGCCAGUCACCUCCACUCUGACACUUCUGGAUACAAAGCAAAGAUUUUUUUCCCCCCUAAUGUUAAAUAUUUGCUACUUUUCUUAAAAUCUCCCAUGAAAGACCAAUGACUGCCACCCCACAGAGUGUCUCAGCACUUUGUGGGUUUUGUUUUCUCUUAGGAUUGCAAACUCAGCUGUGUCUGUCUGCAGAUCAUUCUUCACUUCUCUCCCAGCAUCUGCUAAGCUUGUAAAUUGGUUAAUAGGCUAAGAGGAAUUGGGAUAAAUUAAGAUGUAAGGAAUAGGGGUAAAGCUUGAGAUGGAAAGAUCUUAAAAUCUCAGAAAAUAGGACAGAGAGGCUGUGAGGAACAACACUGGAAUCUAUACAGAUGGAGUAACAUCAGUGUCUAGUACUUGAUUAAAUUUAAAAACAGAGAGAUUGAGAUUGACUUUACAGGGCUGAGAUUGUCUUGUCUACAGCUUAGGCAAAAUAGUACUGGAAUGAGUGUUUGUAGUUAAAAGCUUGAACACAGUUAAUAGCAUCAUGUUAUUAUCUGAAAUACUUCUGAAGGAAGAUAAACAAUUUCAGUUUAUUAUGGUUUUCUUUCCCAUAUGGCACAAAUGGGCCCAGGACCAAACUGGCUCUCAGCAAAAAGCUGCCAUCUCCACACUCAUUCAGCAGGUCAUAUUUAACCAAUUUUAAUAUCUUGCCUGUACACCCACGGGUGGAUCCAUUCCAAUCAAUACUCUAUGGCUUAAGUUUUUUUAUGACACUUCAUUUUUUACUCUCCUUGACUCUUCUGCCACUGUUGUUGAAUAUUCCUUUGUAGCUGAUCUGUUUUCUGUCUCUCUGUGUUAAUGUUUAUGCCGAGUUAUUAUUUCCAAAAGCUAAAUUUUGAGCACUCUCACUGCAUUCCAAAUUUCCUAAGAAAAAGCAGAAACAUUACUGUAAUAAUUCUCAUGAAAACCCAAACAAAUAAAUCAAUUAAACACUUGCAUGAUUCAGAAAGACAAAGAGAUAUUCAUACCCACAUGAAAGAAUGACAUGAUUGUGCCUGUCUCUUCUUUUUGUUGUGAUAUCCUCUUGGUUUCAUUCCAAGUUAUGUUACUGCUUAUUUUCCCAGUCUAUCCAGAUUAGGCAAGAAACAUAUUUUCAAAGGUACAUGGUCACUGAAGGAUGCAGCUAGGCACCUAUCCAAGCAGGUGAAAUCCCAUAAAAUUUUCCUGGAUGCAUAAGCACCUUUGAAAAUCUGCUCUUGAAUGUUUCAGGAAAAGGGCUGAAGUUUCCUGGUAAAUAACUAGCAUUUGUGAAUGUCAUUAAAAACUACAGGACAGGUAAGGACUUGCUUAAAAGACAUUGUGAUAGAAUAGAGUAUAAAGCCAAUGUGUAACUGGAGAUAAGAAAUCUGAAGAAAAGAGAUUAAUACUUCUAGAAAUUCAGGAAAAUGGAAGAUUGCUGAGAAAAGGCACUUCAAGAUAACUCUGUUUUCUGGCAUUGCUUCCAAAACAUUUUAGCUAAAUUCCAAUGUUUUUCUAUGCAAAUUCAAUAGCUAUGAAGACAUAAUAUAUGUUUUCCAGCAAUAGCUGUCCCUUGUGUAACCUCAUGACUUAACAGCACUGAUAAAUGUACAAUGCUCUGCUAACAGUAGGAAUGAUGUAUUUUUGAACACAUGCAGUAAUGAGUUGAUAAAAUUUUGUCUCAUGGUUAGAAACAACACUUUCUUACGAUUAUCAGAGGCCCAGUCAUGCAGGUUGAAGACAGACUUCUAGAGCUACAGUACUACAAGUAAUUUCUGAAUCUUUCUGCUAUGGAAAAACAGAGGAAAACUUUCAUGCCGCUCCUGAAACAAACUAAAGGUCAUCCUCUGAACAGUAUCCAAAACGUAGUAUUAGACAUAAAUCGCUGUACUGCAGACUCCAAUAGUUUGUCAGUAGCUCAUUGCUCCAUGCAGCAGCAGAAGGAACAAGGCUUGACAGCAAGUAUUUAACUAAUUGAGUCUAAAUUUCUGCAUUUGGAAACCCCUUGGUGUUCCAAAACAACUGCUGGCAGCAGUGAAAAGUUCAGCUGCGGAUACGCAUGUGUCCAUGUGAAGGUACAAAGAAACCAAGCACUGGUUUAUUGACAGAAAGGAAGGCAGGGUCAGCCAGUUCUGCAUAACAGCACAAGCAUCCAAACUACAGCUGACAGCCUUCAAAGGGCUUAUGGAGCCUCACCCAGAACUAAUGUCUCCUUUUUUCCCUUCUAAAAAAUUUUGUGUGUUUUCUGCAAAAUAAAGGGCAACCUUUCCUCAGUCUGUUUGUAUUGCCUUUCUUAUUUGGAGUGUCUUUCCCUUCUAUCAUUUAUAAGUACAUAAUAUUGCUGUUUCUUCAUAAAUAAUUUUCCUUUUAACACUACAAAAUAAUCCCACAGUAUAGUUUGUGGCUUGUGACCAAACUUUUCUAGCCAUCCAAGUGUUGCUGUGGUGCUGUUACGGAUUUCAAUAUCCCUGGCAAGGACAGCAGUGCUUGUUUGUACCUAGUGGUACAAACAUUUCAGCCAGGUACUGGGAUAGCUGGACAAGGCUGCCUUCCCAGAGGAAGGCAUGUGGCAUUAAAAAAGUAACUGUGAAAAGUGUAUGAAAUUAGAAUACAAGCUUUUCUUUUCCCUCCACUGUAUUCUCAGUGUUUUGAAAGGAUGGCUAAAGCACUUGACAGCCUGCUUCUCUCACCUACAAAGUUUCAAAUGGGGACAUUGAGACAAGCACAGGAGGAGGCUGACUCAGCCACCUUAGUCAUGUGGAGGGUACAGCCAGAGCUAACUUUUGGAAGACUGAGCUGAGGUAACACACACCUACAUUAACUUAUGUAUCUACAUUUCUCCCUCCAAUUUCAGGAGAAGAAGAAUUUAGGAUACCUUUCCCAGUACACUGAGAUACUGCAUUCAUCUCAGAUCUUUAUAAUUAGAUUAUGAGAGGUUUUGGAAAACAUUUAAAAGGUAAAAGAAGGAAAAAGCAUCCUCCAAUAUGAUGGUUUUACAAAAGGGCAAGGAGUCCUAUCUCUUGCUAAACAACCCUGUAAUGUUUUUCUUUUGAGACUCUGAUUUUUAACUGAAACUGAAAAUUAAAGUUUUCAAGGUAGCUAGAAUCAAUUACAGUUUGCAUGUAUAACAAGUUUGGUUACAAUAGAGGUUUUCACUGCUCUGUUAUCUGAGCAAAUCAAAAUGCAAGAUAUGCAGAGAAACAGAUUCAGCCUUCUUCAGUUUAAAGAAAUAUUAAAAUUUAGAAUUGCAACUAUUUGUAUUUAAAUAAAUCUUAUUCUUACAGAUUCUUAUAGAUCAAUAGUGAUGACUCACAACUUAAGUGCAUCUCAAAGUUUAGCAUUUUAAUAUAUAAAACUGUGCAUAAACAGUGAGUAAAGUGUGAUGAUUUCACACUUUCACAGAUCAGAAACUGUUCAGCAGCUGAAUAUCACAUACAGUUAGUAUUCUGUUUUGGGGGAAAUGUUGGAAUUUUACAUUAUACAAAUUUAUUAAUAACACUUUGAGGAUUAACAUAACAUGGUCAAGAAAUAUAAUACUAAAUCAAUCUAUCAAUCAAUCAAUCAAACAGACACUGUUUCCUACUUUGUCCAGCUCUAACUAGAAGAGUACAGCAGCUGAAUGAAUUGAAAAAUACUAUUAUUAUUACAGACCUUUUAGACUAUUUCAAUUCUAUUUUUUGGCAGAAAUUACUAGAUAUUCAGACUAUACCUAUGGUUUGCAACAUGAAAUCCUAAUUUAUAUACUGUUAAUUAAGGUGCAGGAAUUAUUGUUCCUAGUUUGGCCUUCUCUCCAGAAAAUCACUUUUGGAUAUUUUGGAAUCAGACAUAAAUUAAUAAAGUUUAAAACCGGAUGGCUGAUAAGUAUUUAUGUCACUUUAGACAAAAUUACUGUCCAUAUUAAUUUGUGUUCAACUGGUGGGGAAAAGAUGCUGGUGUUAAGUGCACAAGAAGAAAAACUGAGAUAAAAAUGGAAGCCUGCCCAUAAACACAAUGUCCAAGGAAAAUAAUGGAUUUUAGAGAACAUCUUCUCCUCUUAUGUAACAGAUGUUGCUGAACUGAUUAAAAAAACCCAAACAUAGCUUUGUGGGUCAUAGCAUGCAACCACAACUGAAAAAUACUUAGUGGCCUUUUAGUUAAAGGAGUGGAAUCAACAAUAUUACCAAAACCCAAGACAAUAAAUUCUCUGAGCACACCAAAGAGUACCCAAUAAGCCCAAUAUUAAUCAGUCAUACAUGCAUGAUUACCUGUUCCCUUAGUUACACUAAUGAUUUUCGAAGUCUGAUUGUUAAAGUAAUUGAAAGCUGAUUUUUCAGGUGGAAGUUCUUCAAGCAAAAAGUAAUGUGGAUGGCAGCUGAGAUAACAUGGAGAUGCUCAGAUACAUAUAGGUACAAAAUCCAAUAUGACAUUAGAAGAGAACACCCCUCCUUAUUCACAGAAUAAUUCCACAUGCAAAUUCACUAAUGAAAUCUGCAUGUUCCUUUCCCACAAUGUUAAAAAUAUAAUGAAAGGAGGAAAGGAAUUUGAAGAAACAUUCCAGUUCUCAUAAUAUCUAGAAAUCUGGUCUUUUCUUUUAAGUAUGUAGAUUUUAAUAAUCUGAGUCUUCCAAUUAAACAAUUUUAACAUUGUCUGAAUUAUUUGUAUCUACAGUUAUUCAUAUUUUCACACUAAUUCUACACUAACUCACCCACUAAAUUUUUAUUGCUGUAGCUGAAAGCUAACAAUUGUAGCAAAGUGAAUUGGACUGUAAUUUUUCAAGAAGAGAGGGAAAAAAAUAACCUAAUGGAUGUCUUGGACUAAGCCUGAGUCUAAGCAUGUCAGUCUAUGCAAUGUGCCAUUACUGCUAAAUCUAUAGCAGUCAGAAGCAUUAAGAAAAACUUUACCACUCUCAUCAAACAAAAAGGGAUUAAAUUCUUCAGCGGCUUCUUCCAGGGUCUGUAAGAGUAUGCAUUAUUCUCUAAACCAGAAGAAAUUUACUCUGAGGGAAAGCUUUUCAACAGAACUCUUUUAAAAUACAAGGUAAAGGAGUAGAACUGAGCUAAGGCAUUUCUCUAUCAAUCACCAUAAUUCUUUGAUGUUUUUCAUUCCCUUAACAUCAUGGAUUUUAUCCAAAUAACAAUAGCUUAUCAGCUACAGAAUACAUACCUAUGGUAUGUUUAGAUUACCAGGUAAAUGCAUAUUUUUAAAAGCUUUUAUGGGAUGUGCAAAAUAUGCUGAAGCAGGAAAACAAACAACUGUACAAUGUAAUAAGUAUUCCUAAUGUUUCUUUAUUAGAUUAUAGGAAUCUGCAGCUAGUAACAAUCUGCCUCUCAUAGUUCAGAGCAAAGCUACUGAUACACAGCUACUUACUUUGCAUUGGUUUCCCUUGGGAAACUAUUAAGAACUCUUAUGUUUAAUACAGAAUUAAACUUUUCACAGCUAAUACAGUACAUAAAAUUCACAAACUUCUUCAAACAUGAUCUAUAAAGGAAGGAGUCUACAGUCUACAACACUCAUGCAUUUACUGGUUUCCUGUGUUGUCCUGUAUAUUUCUUCUUCAGCAUUGUCAGACCUGUAUUCUCGACAGAUGGUUACAAAAUGUCUCUACUUAGACAUGUUACAAAAAUCAAAUCAUAGGUGCAUAAUUGUCUGACUAACAUUAAACUUUUGUGCUUAAUAAGGUUUAGUUAAGAAUAUUAGCUCAGGAGAACACUGUUAAUUUUUAUACUUGUUUGUGUCCUAGAGAAGAAAGGGAUACCAUGCAGAAAUUCAAACCUGCCUGGCAUUUGUUUGUCUUGAUUAAAAUUCAGCACAUUAAACAGGUCAGAUCUAUGGCUACAUGACAUACCAGAACCAUGAUAUCUUCCCAUUUUGGAUCAACAGUGUCUUGCAAAGGUUCAUUUUGACCUGCACUCUAAUUCAGCACAUUCUGAGAGCUAAAAUGUUUUGAAGAGUGGGUAAUGAACUGCAAAACAACACAGAACUUCCACUGAAACUUCUGAAUUGUGGAAUUAAGUCCAAAAAAUGCUUUCAAUUUUGCAUGAUAAAGUCAAUAAAAUCUUGUAAAAUAAUCCUUAUGUACAGAAUGGCACUUUUGAACUAUCUUGUGUGUCACAGUGAAGUACGUGAAUUGCAAUAGGUGGAAUAAAGAACUGAGCAAAGAAAAGGUGUGUUCACAAUGAGACCUGAGGCAGACAAGUUAUUAGUCAAAAGGCAUCUUAGGUGGUAAUUUUAAUACUUAAUAAAGGUAGUAACUGUAAAAGUCCUAUGCUUCACAUUUUAGAUAAGACCUCUCACUUAUGUAAAUAUUCAUCAGCAUCUCUAGAGUAAAGCCCUUAUUAUACUGAGUUGAAAGACAUACAAGCCAGUUGAAUCGCUUUUCUGGAAGAUGCUCGAGGGAGUGUAGUCAAAUCUCUGC